rnacentral:rRNA from 1 species
AGAGUUUGAUCCUGGCUCAGGAUGAACGCUGGCGGUAUGCUUAACACGUGCAAGUCGGACGGGAAGUGGUGUUUCCAGUGGCAGACGGGUGAGUAACGCGUAAGAACCUGCCCUUGGGAGGGGAACAAUAGCUGGAAAUGACUGCUAAUACCCCAUAGGCUGAGGAGAAAAAGGGGGAAUCUGCCCAAGGAGGGGCUCGCGUCUGAUUAGUUAGUUGGUGAGGCAAUGGCUUACCAAGGCGACGAUCAGUAGCUGGUCUGAGAGGAUGAUCAACCACGCUGGGACUGAGACAUGGCCCAGACUCCUACGGGAGGAAGCAGUGGGGAAUUUUCUGCAAUGGGCGACAGCCUGAUGGAGCAAUGCUGCGUGAAGGCAAAAGGCCCACGAGUCAUGAACUUCUUUUCUCGGAGAAGAAAAAUGACGGUCUCUGAGGAAUAAGCAUCAGCUAAAUCUGUGCCAGCAGCCGCGGUAAU